rnacentral:sRNA from 1 species
UGGAUACCAUUAUCAGAACUGGACUAAA